rnacentral:lncRNA from 1 species
GCUGGUGCAUAUAAAUCAUAUGUACCGAGCUUGUUACAUAUGUAGUUUAACAUCGAACCCAGGUUUCUAGACCCAAAAGCAUCGAUUCCCAAAGACAUCGUUGAAAAUUUGCUAAAACAGAUGAAGGAAAACUUUUUUUUUUUUUUUUUUUUGUUUUUUUGGCCGGAAAAUCACUGUAGAUGCCGGAAAAACUUCAAAGUUGUCGGAAUUGAAAAGUAAAAAUAUGAGUAGGCUCGGAAUUUUAGGGCGAUGAUACUGUCCUGAAGAAACUUUUUGAAAUUCUGGCCGGAAAGUCUCUGUAGCUGCCGGAAAAGUCGCCGGAAAAACUGAAAGUUGUCGGAANNNN